GGGCAUGUGGUGUAGUUGGUUAUCACGCUCGCUUAGCAUAGACCAUUGUGCAGGCCUGCGAGAGGGGUCCGGUUCAAUCCCGGACAUGUCCA